rnacentral:lncRNA from 1 species
GGUUGCAUGGUAACAUCUACCCCAUCCAUUCCCUGGGCUGGAAAGGCCCUGAGAGCUCUUUGGGCAGUGAGACACCUUCUAUGGCUGCUGCCUAGCAGUGGGUCAGAGCACCUUGAUAUGCAGCCAGCUUGUGGCCUUUGUAGCUAUAUCCUCACCGCUGAGGGUGAAGAAGGGAGUGCCAACCCUCAGAACCACAACUCCAGCCUGGGCGACAGAGCAAAACUCUGUCUCAAAAAAAAAAAAGCACUUCAGGGUGUCAUGGAAAAUAAAGAAAGAAAUGCCUUCCUUCCCCCCUUGGUUAACACUCACCUCUCUCCCUCAUGUGACUUCUUAGACUUAUCUUACCCAUACUUGAUCUUUCCUUUCUCUGAAAUUUUAUUUCAGUUGGACUCAGGGAUACCCCCUCUAAGUUGAUUGCCUUUG